rnacentral:tRNA from 1 species
GCCUGGGUGGCUCAGCAGUUGAGCAUCUGACUUCGGCUCAGGGACUGAUCCUGGAGUCCCAGGAUCGAGUCCUGGAUCAGGCU